rnacentral:misc_RNA from 1 species
GAAAUGCGAUAAGUAAUGUGAAUUGCAGAAUUCAGUGAUUCAUCGAAUCUUUGAACGCACAUUGCGCCCCCUGGUAUUCCGGGGGGCAUGCCUGUUCGAGCGUCAUUUCACCACUCAAGCCUCGCUUGGUAUUGGGCGACGCGGUCCGCCGCGCGCCUCAAAUCGACCGGCUGGGUCUUCCGUCCCCUCAGCGUUGUGGAAACUAUUCGCUAAAGGGUGCCGCGGGAGGUCACGCCGCAAAACAACCCCAUUUCUAAGGUUGACCUCGGAUCAGGUAGGGAUACCCGCUGAACUUAAGC